UACGUAGGGUGCGAGCGUUGUCCGGAAUUACUGGGCGUAAAGAGCUCGUAGGUGGUUUGUCGCGUUGUUCGUGAAAUUCCCUGGCUUAACUGGGGGCGUGCGGGCGAUACGGGCAGACUGGAGUACUGCAGGGGAGACUGGAAUUCCUGGUGUAGCGGUGGAAUGCGCAGAUAUCAGGAGGAACACCAGUGGCGAAGGCGGCUAUCUGGACCGUAACUGACGCUGAGGCGCGAAAGCGUGGGGAGCAAACAGG
rnacentral:rRNA from 1 species